rnacentral:lncRNA from 1 species
AUGCGAAGGAGUCAAGGGCAUGAUGCUGCCACGAGCAAGCAGCUGUCCGGAUUUUUAAAGAGCAAAUUCCAUGAGACAAAUUUAAUUGCAUUUUUUAAUAGAAUUAAAAAAAAAAAAACCCUCCACAGCAUUAGGGGGCGACGGAAAUGAAAUGGAUGCAUCCAGAAAUCUCAUUUGAAAGGUGAAUUCAACCGGGUUGCCUCUAGGGUCCGUCUCCAGGAUUGAAACCUGCAGGAAGGCCCGCGGGAGCCGGUGGGCGGCCGUGGUGGGGCAGGAGGGGGUGGCCGGUGGCUUCUGGCUGUGAGAUGGGCCGGUAUUUACAGAGGGUCAUUAUGAAUGACUUGCAGGAGGUGACAAGCACAGCAGUAAUUAAAUGUCCUCGUGUGGCCAGGUGGGAAAUUGGCUUCGAACGCGGGAGAGGGAGGCCUCAUUCCACGUGCUUGUCUUCCAGCUCCCGUCUCUGCCUUGACUUUGCUUCUCCUCCCGGCCUGGCCCCGCCGUCCUAGAACCAGAGGGCGGCAUGGUGGGUGUCCCAGGGGACAUGGCGGGGGCUGGGGGCUUUAGAGCAGCCGCAUAGAUCCCCCCGGGCACACCCCAGGGUGUGCACGCUGCAGCUCUGGAAACGAAGCCUGCACAAAUGAACGCUGAUACCAGCCGAGCAACGCAGCUGCGAAGCCACCACGACCUCUUGCCUGGCUUGGUGGGACGUGUACCUCUGCAGGGGACUCAGCAGGGGAUGCAGGUGGGCGCUUCUCUGAGUCACCUCCAGGGGAGCCCUUGGUCUGGUUCAUGUUUCCGUGCAAAAGCCUGGUUGGUUUUGACUUUCUGAGGCUGUUCAGGCAUUUGAAAUGGGGUGGUUUUUGCUCCUAAAGAAAACCAGGCUGAUAAGAGAAGCUCAGGCAUGACCCAGUUUUCUGAUUCAGAUCAACCUUAAGUGUCUUCUGAAGACACUGCUAACCCAUGGCCUGGCUGGUGGCUUCUCACGGCUGAGUCCUGGCACUGCCCCUGUGGCAACUAACAUUUUUUUCUGAGAAGCCUCUGUGGCCAAGAUGCUCCCUGCCCUGCAGUACCAAGUACUGUGUGUUCAGAGAGGGGAGGUUAUAUCUUCUGUGUUUUAUUUAAUGUGCAAACCAUAAGCCAAACUCUGUAGACAGGGAGAGGUUUGUAGUGGUGGGGCCGACCGUGGUCAACCCCACGCCUUCGGAAGCUGGUCUUUCAUACAAUGAUGCUGUGGAGACAAGGGUCAUUGUUAUCCCCACUUAAAAAUAAGAAAAAUGGGAUUCCCGUUGUGGCUCAGCGAUAACAAACCCGACUAGUAUCCAUGAGGAUGUGGGUUUGAACCCUGGCCUUGUCCAGUGGGUUAAGGAUCCGGCAUUGCCGUGAGCUGUGGUGUGGGUCGAAGACUUGGCUUGAAUCCCGAGGUGCCAUGGCUGUGUUGUAGGCUGGCAACUGAAGCUCCGAUUCAACUCCUACCCUGGGAACUUCCCUAUGCC